rnacentral:tRNA from 15 species
GUUCAACCCCUUCCCCUACUA